UACGAAGGGGACUAGCGUUGUUCGGAAUUACUGGGCGUAAAGCGCACGUAGGCGGAUUUGUUAGUCGGGGGUGAAAUCCCGAGGCUCAACCUCGGAACUGCCUUUGAUACUGCAAAUCUCGAGUCCGAUAGAGGUGGGUGGAAUUCCUAGUGUAGAGGUGAAAUUCGUAGAUAUUAGGAAGAACACCGGUGGCGAAGGCGGCCCACUGGAUCGGUACUGACGCUGAGGUGCGAAAGCGUGGGGAGCAAACAGG
rnacentral:rRNA from 1 species